rnacentral:lncRNA from 1 species
GCAAAUCCCAUUACAAGACACCUAGCACAACAUUGAUUUUAGUCUUUGGACAGAAAAUCAACUUGUAAGUGGUACUCUUGGUGUAGUGAUCAAAUAUUGACAANNNNNNNUGGACAGAAAAUCAACUUGUAAGUGGUACUCUUGGUGUAGUAAUCAAAUAUUGACAAUAAACUCCUGUCAAAUAUCAAGCCUUCCUUUGGGCCGACUCAAUAUUCACAUGGAAAACCGAAUAAUUGUCACAAAUUUAUUACCACAAGCAUGUUUGAAU